UUUAUCUCUCUUCUUUUUUUCCCUCCCUUCUAUUCUCUUAUCCGUUCCUCCACCGUUCCUCAAGGACCUCACGUCGUCCUUAUCCUUUCUCCAGCUCAGUGAUGCUCUGCCUCCCGCCACCUACUCCCUCCGUUCCUUGUGCACUACUGCUGGCCUGCUGCCUCUUCGUCGCCGCUGCGCGGGCGCUCAUUUUGCUCCGCAGCUGCUGCCCGACACGCGCCGUGCCGUAUCUCCGCUGGACCACGCGGAGCAGAGGUGGGCCCAUCGACGGCACACCCCGUUGCUCCUGCGCGGUCGCACUCUGCCCCGACGUGCCGCUUCCCCGCCGCCGCGCUUUGAGCCUGGCAUGCUGCUUCCUCGCAGCACGUUCCGGCUAGCCCCGGCAUGCCGCUCCCCGAUGCCGUGCGUGCUUCCUUGGCCUGGCGUCCAAUAUACAACCAACAGUUGUGCCUCGAGGGAAAAAUAAAACCUGUCAACCAUCCAGAUGCAUCACUUGAUCGACAGCAAAUCAAGGAGACUUGAGAUAAAAUAGACAGCAAAAAGAAUUGUCGGUCAAUAAUGGCCAGUGGAGCAGCGGAUUGGGUAAUAUGAAAAUGAUUAUAGAUUAAUAUAAGCAGGGACAUAUUAUUCUAAUGAUAAAUAUUUUAAGGGCUAUAUCUCGAGGCAGUCAUCUGGUGUUGUACUAUCUGCUACUUGAUGAUAUAUUAUCAUGCAUUGCUGACAAAAUCCAUGGAAUUUGCUCAGGCUAGUUUGUUUGUUUAGUUGCGGUCACGUUUAGUUAGCAUUACUGUUUUCUCAGAGAAAGGCCAAGUUGAAUUCCUUCACCAACAAAAUGAGGUAGAAAGGCCACGUGAUGGUGCGGGGGCCCAAUAUAACUACUACAUACUUGCUUGACAGCUAGUAGGCCCAGCAACUGGAUAAUUUGUAUGCAUCCAAGAGAGUGAUUAUGAUUUGGCCCAUUGGGCUUGACACGAAUUCGUCCGUAUUCUUCGCAACAAAAAGAUUCCUUCGUGAACUAAACUGAAACAAACCAUCACAUGCGGACGAAGGAGAAAACAACAAUAUUUAUAUGCCAAUACGGUUUGUAGACGGGUGAGCCAAAUACGAGGGCACCUCGACCGUCAACCGAGCGCCCGAGCCGGACUCCGUUCCCAUGCCGUCGCCUAAGCCGCCUGCGACGGACGCCCUCUUGCCUCUCCUUCCCCACAAAAUCCCGCGCCGCUGCAGGCCUAGCGCCUGCCACUUUCAUAGCAUGAUCCUGCUUCCAUUGAUUUCCAUCCUCACCGUGUUCCAUCAAAUCCAAGCCCAAGCUGAGGUUCGCGAUCGCGACAAGUUAUGUCGUGGCAAUUGGUGAAGAAUAUAUAGGCUUCUUCGGAAAGGAGAGGAUGGAGCAUGAACUUGUAGCAGAAAGCGGCUACAAGAAUAAGAUAAUGCGGCUUUUUUUAUUCCAAUUAGAGUGAAAAAAAAUAAAAGAAUAGUUGAUGUUUAUACUUCCUUAUUAUUUGACAUAUAUAUUUCAUGGGAUGAGACACCGGAAAGAGAAUAAUGC